UUGUGUGCCAGCAGCCGCGGUAAUACGUAUGGUGCAAGCGUUAUCCGGAUUUACUGGGUGUAAAGGGAGCGCAGGCGGUGCGGCAAGUCUGAUGUGAAAGCCCGGGGCUCAACCCCGGUACUGCAUUGGAAACUGUCGUACUAGAGUGUCGGAGGGGUAAGUGGAAUUCCUAGUGUAGCGGUGAAAUGCGUAGAUAUUAGGAGGAACACCAGUGGCGAAGGCGGCUUACUGGACGAUAACUGACGCUGAGGCUCGAAAGCGUGGGGAGCAAACAGG
rnacentral:rRNA from 1 species